UUUCCUUGCAUCAGCUGCUGUUCAUCAGUGCUGCAGUGGCUCACUUGUCUUCGAAGGCAGCUUCCUUGGAGGGACAGCAACAUUUCACUGGAGCUAAUAAAGUCAAUAAGGAUAAUAUUAUACAGUAGGCCACUAGAAAACCAGGUGCAUUUUGCACAAAUCAUUCUGUUUUUAAUUCCUACCAAUUUUACACUUCAUGAAGAAUGUUUAAAGAGCCCUAUUAUUAUUACUUACAUUAGCUUGCGUAUAUAUUUAAUUGCCAUUUUUCUUUUUCUUUCUUUCCCUUUUUUAGUUGUUGCAAGAAAAAGAAAGCAAAGAAGAAAAAAAUUGUGGACAUGUUCACACAUUUUCAUUACCACAAAAGUACUGAUGAAAACUGAUCAAAGCUGGGAAACGCAUCGCAGUAGCUCGAAACCCCAUCUCAAGCCAGUCCCUUAUUACCCAGACUCCUCACUGCGGUCAGAGCCUGCAGCCUCUCCCUACUCCCACUGGUCCUUGGCCAGCAGCUCCUGACACCCAGAGGAUUCAGCUUGGGUUUUCAGAAUCAAGAUAUUCUCAUAGAGACUGGGUCUGCAGCAGGAGAACCAAAGAACAUCUCCUAGCAUUCAUCUUCAGGACCACUGAAGAAAUAAAGCCCUAGAAGGAACAAUGGGAACA
rnacentral:lncRNA from 1 species